UGAGGAACAUGACCUUCGGCGGGGGAUAGCCGGCCCAACGGCCGGGUAAUACCGCGUACGACCACAUGGGGACAUCCCUGAGUGGUGAAAGCAGCAAUGCGCCGAUGGAGUGCCUCGCGGCCUAUCAGCUAGUUGGUGAGGUAACGGCUCACCAAGGCAACGAUGCGUAGCCGACCUGAGAGGGUGAUCGGCCACAUUGGAACUGAGAUACGGUCCAGACUNUACGGGAG
rnacentral:rRNA from 1 species